CUUUAACUAUCAUUUUGCAUUAUUGACACACUGUUUUCCUAAUGAAUGUUGUUCAGUUGCUUUGACGCAAUGUAUUUUGUUUAAAGCGAUAUAUAAAUAAAGGUGACUUGACUUGACUUGUGAAUCGCCUGGACACAAGACGUACCUCUUUAGUGAUUUUGAAUGAAAUUGCUGGACUAAUGGGACAUACCAAAACCAUUGCAUCUGAGCAGAUGAUUGACUGAAAUUGGUCUGACUGUACCUUGCAUUUCAAAACUGCUUGGCAUGUCAACACGAACGCAGAAUGCAAGAGUUUGGCAUAACAGUGAGAGGAACAUACAGUCAAUUGACUAAUGAAGAGUUAGACAAUCUUGUGGCUGCAAUCAAAACAACAUCACCACACUCAGGCUACAGAAUGAUGAGAGGACACUUGAAAGCUCUUGGUCAUCGAGUCCAGUGGAGCAGAGUCUUCAGCUCUAUGAAUAGAGUUGAUUCGGCUGAAGUCCUUGCUAGAAUGUCACAACUUGGGCAUGUUGUGAGGAGAUCAUAUUCAGUUCAGGCCCCUCUGUCCCUCAUGCAUUUGGACACCAACCACAAGCUGAUCAGGUCAUGUAUCUGGAGGCUGCAACCAACAACAAAGCAGAGACUGCACUAGGUUUCUUCCUCAAGGCAGUAGAAAAGCGUGCAGUUCCUUCACGGGUAAGAGCAGACCAAGGUGUAGAAAAUGAGGACAUUGCAAGGUGGAUGUUCACUGUUCAGGGCUGUGGCAGGGGAAGUUUCAUUUCGGGGAAGAGCGUUCAUAAUCAAAGGGUCGUACGGCUAUGGAAAGAUGUGUGGAUGUCUGUUUCAAACUUGUAUUAUGAUGUUCUACAUAAUUUGGAAGAGAGUGGCUCUCUUGACCCAUCAAACACUAUUCACUUUUUCUGUGCAUAUUCUGUGCAACCAUUAG